GUUGAACUGGUUUGGGAUGGCCGCCCGGAGUGGGUGAGAGUCCCGUAGGCGAAUACGCACGCAGUCUGCGAUGAUGGUGUUCCCGAGUAGCAGCGGGCUCGUGGAAUCUGCUGUGAAUCUGCCGGGACCGCCUGGUAAGCCUGAAUGACAUGGUGUGACCGAUAGUGGAUAGUACCGUGAGGGAAUGGUGAAAAGUACCCCGGGAGGGG
rnacentral:rRNA from 1 species